CUUACCGAUGUGGGACUUUCCUCAGUUUCUCUCUUCGUCUUCAGUUAAAUCAAAAACCCUAAUUUCAAAAUCUCCAGAAUAUGACCACAACGACUACCAUCUCUCAGCAUGAUUUCUACGGUGAUGAUGAUGGAGAUUCGGAAGGUUCAGUCUAUCUAUCUGUUAUCGAGAAUAUGAAGGAAGAGUACGGUUUGUUCGUUUGGCCUUGUAGCGUCAUCCUCGCCGAGUAUGUCUGGCAACAGCGAUCUCGAUUUCGUGGCUCUACCAUUCUCGAGCUAGGAGCUGGCACUUCCUUGCCUGGUUUGGUAGCUGCUAAGGUUGGAGCUAAUGUCACCCUUACUGAUGACUCAAGCAAAGCAGAGGUUUUGGAGAAUAUGACAAGAGUUUGUGAGCUUAACAAUCUCAACUGUAAUGGGUCUCACAUGGGGAGUGUGGGAUGCAACCAUAUUUGAUCUGCGGCCUAACAUUAUACUUGGAGCCGAUGUUUUAUAUGAUUCAAGUGCGUUCGAUGAUCUCUUUGCCACCGUCUCUUUCCUGCUUCAGAAUUCUCCAGAUGCAGUUUUUAUCACUACUUAUCACAACAGGAGUGGGCAUCAUCUGAUCGAGUUCCUCAUGGUGAAAUGGGGUCUGAAGUGCGUUAAACUUGUGGAUGGCUUCUCAUUUUUGCCAUCUCGAAAGGCAUCUUUACUAAGCGGCAACAUUCAGCUUGUUGAGAUCGUAUUGAGUUGUGGAAAAUCAGCAGCCUAAUAAGACUGUAAAAUAAGAGGCCAAAGGUCAAAGGAAAAAUAUCAAACUAAUGGUUGAGCUUGUCUCAUUUGGCUGAGAAUGAAGGAGGAUCGAUUUGGUAAGAAGAUUAUGAAUCUCAACAAUUUGUGAAAAAGAUUUCUAAGUAUGUCAAAGCAGGAUAAAAGAUCACGGAUAAGAUUGAAUUGGAGCCUAACAAAUACAUCUUCACGACCAGUUUGCAACAAUUGUCUUUUUCUUUGCUCAUAUCCAUUUGUUCUUAAAGACCACGAGCACACACCAACGCAUUCUUUCGUUCAUAUUAUUGUUUCAAAGUUGUUUAAAUUAAGAGCUCCCAUCGGUGAAAAUAGGAGAUCUUUUGCAAAAUACAAGUCUGUGAUCCUUGUUUUCUCACAAUUUUUGUUAUAACCAACUUCCCCA